CCUGGUGGCUUAGAGGUUAAGCAUUUGCCUGGAAUGCAGGAGAUCCAGGUUCAAUCCCUGGGUCAGGA
rnacentral:tRNA from 1 species